rnacentral:rRNA from 1 species
GAUGACGCUAGCUACAGGCUUAACACAGCAAGUCGCGGGGCAGCAUGGGGGUGCUUGCAACCCCCGAUGGCGACCGGCGCACGGGUGAGUAACGCGUAUCCAACCUGCCCUUCACCACGGGAUAACCCGGCGAAAGUCGGACUAAUACCGUAUGUUGUCCAUUGACGGCAUCCGAUUUGGACGAAAGGUUUGGCGGUGAGGGAUGGGGAUGCGUCCGAUUAGCCAGACGGCGGGGUAACGGCCCACCGUGGCUACGAUCGGUAGGGGUUCUGAGAGGAAGGUCCCCCACACUGGAACUGAGACACGGUCCAGACUCCUACGGGAGGCAGCAGUGAGGAAUAUUGGUCAAUGGGCGUAAGCCUGAACCAGCCAAGUAGCGUGCAGGAUGACGGCCCUAUGGGUUGUAAACUGCUUUUAUGCGGGGAUAAAGUGGCCCACGUGUGGGCUUUUGCAGGUACCGCAUGAAUAAGGACCGGCUA